rnacentral:rRNA from 1 species
GACGAACGCUGGCGGCGUGCUUAACACAUGCAAGUCGAACGGAAAGGCCCUGCUUUUGUGGGGUGCUCGAGUGGCGAACGGGGGAGUAACACGUGAGUAACCUGCCCUUGACUUUGGGAUAACUUCAGGAAACUGGGGCUAAUACCGGAUAGGAGCUCCUGCUGCAUGGUGGGGGUUGGAACGUUUCGGCGGUUGGGGAUGGACUCGCGGCUUAUCAGCUUGUUGGUGGGGUAGUGGCUUACCAAGGCUUUGACGGGUAGCCGGCCUGAGAGGGUGACCGGCCACAUUGGGACUGAGAUACGGCCCAGACUCCUACGGGAGGCAGCAGUGGGGAAUAUUGCACAAUGGGCGGAAGCCUGAUGCAGCAACGCCGCGUGCGGGAUGACGGCCUUCGGGUUGUAAACCGCUGUCGCCUGUGACGAAGCGUGAGUGACGGUAAUGGGUAAAGAAGCACCGGCUAACUACGUG